UGAGUAACACGUAUCCAACCUGCCGUCUACUCUUGGCCAGCCUUCUGAAAGGAAGAUUAAUCCAGGAUGGCAUCAUGAGUUCACAUGUCCGCAUGAUUAAAGGUAUCUUCCGGUAGACGAUGGGGAUGCGUUCCAUUAGAUAGUAGGCGGGGUAACGGCCCACCUAGUCAACGAUGGAUAGGGGUUCUGAGAGGAAGGUCCCCCACAUUGGAACUGAGACACGGUCCAA
rnacentral:rRNA from 1 species